UGUUGACCCCCUAAUGGAUUUUGAUGAAUACAAAACACUAGAGCAUAAUUCCAUUAUAUCUUAACAAUUUAAUUAAGGAAUUCAUGUGUUUUAUCUAGAAUAUUGUUGAGAAAUGUCUAGGCAAGUUCCCAUAAUUUUUAUGAAUUCAUUGAAGAACAUUUUGAGUUAAUGAAAAAGUUCAGGGACAGCCGAGACGUCUCCUGAUAGUUUCAGAGACGUCUCUGGCACAAACAGGAAGAACUGGCACACUUGGAGACGUCCCCGGCACCUGCCGAGUCGUCCCC
rnacentral:lncRNA from 1 species